UACGAAGGGGGCUAGCGUUGUUCGGAAUCACUGGGCGUAAAGGGUGCGUAGGCGGCGGGGCAAGUCAGGUGUGAAAUCUCGGGGCUCAACCCCGAAACUGCACUUGAUACUGCCUUGCUCGAGUACUGGAGAGGAGACUGGAAUUUACGGUGUAGCAGUGAAAUGCGUAGAUAUCGUAAGGAAGACCAGUGGCGAAGGCGAGUCUCUGGACAGUUACUGACGCUGAGGCACGAAGGCCAGGGGAGCAAACGGG
rnacentral:rRNA from 1 species